AAACGCCACGUGGGCGGACGUGGGUAGAGCAGCCUUCUCCCAUCCUCAUCCCUCCUCCUCCCCAGUCGCAACUACGGUUUGGUUUAGCUUUUGUAUUAGCCCUUUCUGCCGCAGCCCACGCGGCGUCGAGGAGGAGUCAGCAAGAUGCUUGCCUUGGUGCGGUCUUGGUCAGGUGUCACCGUAGGUGGGCUGGCGAGCAGCAGCACCGCCAUCUUGAUGGUCAGCAAGAGGAGUGGUAGUAGCAGCACUAGUAGUGUGUGUCACUUGCAGUCGCACCUGUGUGCGCGACCCUCCAGCAUGGCCUGUAUCGUGAGCGCUGGUGCGGGUGCUGUCGUUGCAUGUCCGUCCACCAGCAGCGUCGGAGGCAUGCGACCCUCCCGACUCCUGCGUCGACCGCAGACGAUAAAGCCGAACCCGAACGAAGCCACCAGCGGCCAAUUUGAGAGGAGUUUCGAGAAGUUGACGGACAAGAUCGAGUCGCGCCUUCCGUUCCGUCAGCACCACGUUCUGCAUGGCAACAUCUACGAGCAGCCGUAUGGCGAGCGGAGUGAGCAUGACAUGUGGGUGGAGGCGCAGGAAGAUCUGCAUGGACGCGAGAAGGAGAAGCCGGCGGCACGGCAGGUGCGCAGCUACUUCUCCGACGAAGACCUUUCUCCAGAGGCGAUGCACGUCCGCUCGCCACAGCUGAAGGUGGCACAAAACCUUCAGAGGCAGGCGUACGACAAGAAAAUUCUGAAAACGACGGCGGAGCCGGCUGCCUACUACUACCCGGUGGUGACCUUGGAAGAGAAGCGGCGCUACCGUUGGAAGCUGAUUGCUGGAUGGAGCGCCGUUGGAAUGAUGACGCUCACAGGAUUGCGGCAUCUAUGCGAGCACAUGCGCACGGCUGGUUAGCUCUGCUGUACUCGCUGGCUUCGAAAGCAUGUCUGUGUUUUUGCGCGUGUGGAUUUGUGUGCGCCUGAAGGAAAUGACCGAGGGAAAAUGGUAGCUGUUAUUGGCGGCCCGAACGCGUCGAUAUCACCUGUCGUCUUCUUUCUUCGCCACCGUCUCUAGGCGCCAUCGCGGUGGCGACCGUGCUGCUGGCUUCACCGCACUCCCCAUGUCACCCCCGAGUCCCUCUCCCUCCAUCUCUCUCUCUCGAUGCCCUUUUCUGUUUUUCCCGUUUGCUGUCGCUAUUCAUUCUCCUCUUUGCGGAACCCACACGCACGCACACGUUGCCACGGUUGGUGUCCACACCCGUUCGCCUCCUGUCCUUCCCGUCCUACUCUACUUCUGUUUAUGAUGUUGGCCGAUUUUGUGCGCCACCUCAUCACACCCCACGCAUACGCACAAUACAACACGACAUCACCAUCGACUCGAACAACUAAACCUUCUAAAACAACAUCAAAACUGUUGCCGCGCGCACACGCACACGUUCACGAAG
rnacentral:misc_RNA from 1 species